rnacentral:rRNA from 1 species
UACCAGCACCCCGAGUGGUCGGGACGUUUAUUGGGCCUAAAGCAUCCGUAGCCGGUUCUGCAAGUCUUCCGUUAAAUCCACCUGCUUAACAGAUGGGCCGCGGAAGAUACUAUAGAGCUAGGAGGCGGGAGAGGCAAGCGGUACUCGAUGGGUAGGGGUAAAAUCCGUUGAUCCAUUGAAGACCACCAGUGGCGGAGGCGGCUUGCCAGAACGCGCUCGACGGUGAGGGAUGAAAGCUGGGGGAGCAAACCGG